UCAAAAUGUCUGACGUGCCUGGAACGUUGU
rnacentral:piRNA from 1 species